rnacentral:lncRNA from 1 species
CCUGGCUUGUGCCUUUGCCCCAUCCUCUGUCAGUUCCUGAGCCAACAAAAUCAGGAAUCCCCAUUGCAGAAUCCAGACAGCAUCAGGGCAAGUCCCCCACUUCACCCUGCUUUGCUGUUCAUGAGCACCCUGUUUUUGACUACGGAGGGAGAAACUAUCUGUGGGAAUGUGGGAAUGCAGACACUUUCCCACAGCAGGGCCCCUUCCAGAGGAGUAGGAUAAGGGGGUUUUGGAAUUUUCCCAUGGGAAUGGAAUUCAGGUUGGAACCUUAUGUCCAGUUUCUGUGAGCUGCUGAGCACAGCAGACUGGCAUCAGGAGGGCAGUUGGCUUGGAGCAGCGUAGUGCACGCCUCCUCCCUGCAUGGAAGCUGUGGAGCAUCUUUCCGUGUCAGACUAUGCACUGGAGAGGAAACAGUGACAUGAGGCCCAGGUAUGUCUGAGCACAUGCGUGUGCCUGUGUGUGUGCAUGUGUGUGCAGAAGAGGAGCUGAGGAGGGUUAGCCCUGUGCCCAGGACAGCAGGUGCAGAGGCUGAACUCGGGCGGGGGCAGCUCCUCCUAGCUGCUUGAUGGGUGGAUCUCCACUCCAGCUGGGUCUGCUGGCCAACUUUCUGCAAGCUGUGGCUUCUCUGAGGUUCUGGGCUCCACUGCUGCACAGCCAGCUGCACAGUGCCUUGUGGUGGCAGCCCCAGGUCGUUGCUGCAGUUGCUUUCCAUCCUGUGAUCUGGGGAUCCAGACAAGUGGUGUGGGGAGGUUCUGCGCCACUCCGUGUGCCCGGGGCCUCAGCUGGGAGGACUGGAGUGGCUGAGCCUCCCUGGGACAGUGGGCACUGCUGA